AGAACGAACGCUGGCGGCAUGCCUAACACAUGCAAGUUGAACGAGACCUUCGGGUCUAGUGGCGCACGGGUGCGUAACGCGUGGGAACCUGCCCUUAGGUUCGGAAUAACUCAGAGAAAUUUGAGCUAAUACCGGAUAAUGUCUUCGGACCAAAGAUUUAUCGCCUUUGGAUGGGCCCGCGUAGGAUUAGCUAGUUGGUGGGGUAGAGGCCUACCAAGGCGACGAUCCUUAGCUGGUCUGAGAGGAUGAUCAGCCACACUGGGACUGAGACACGGCCCAGACUCCGUACGGGAGGCAGCAGGUGGGGAAUAGUUGGACAAGUGGGACGAAAGCCUGA
rnacentral:rRNA from 1 species